CUCCCCAAUCAUGAGUGAGUGCCAAGAGGAAAUACAGGAAUAGUGAGACACAAAAUCUGCCUUUUAUUGUUGGAGCCUCUCAAUGGGAGGAGAAGCAGUGCUCUGAACCACCAUCGGCCCCCAAGGAAGAAGAUCGCUGGAGGUAGGAACAUGUGUACCACCCUGAUGGUCCUCACCACCAUCGCUCUCAUCCUGCGACACCAUUUCUUCAACAAGAUCACACCGCAGAAGGAGACUGUUGAGAAAGACGUGCCAUACAUGAAGAGCAAUGGAGCAACAGAAACCCAAAAAUGAGAGAGAAAGUGAACAUCAAAGGACAUGUCAAGUGUUGGCCAUCAUCUCAAGUGUAGUGAGCAUCAGGGGCCUCUGCUAUCAAGACUUACUUCCGCAGAUACUACGAUAGAGAUUUCCUUGAGAGAUUUCCUGUUAUCAAAUCAAGGUUCCCAACAGGACACUGAAAAACAACACAACCUGUUUUGACAUCUCUCCUGCUGACACGCUCAUUCCUGAAACAGGAAACAGCAACUGAACAAAUUCUUGGAAGAUCAAGCCUGACAAACCCUGUCAUGAAAACUGAAUUUUGUCUUUUCAAAGUUGAUUAAAUGAUCAGGGUAAAAAGUAAAACAACAUUAUGUGCCUCUGCAUAAACAAGCAGUAUUCAUUUCUUAAAUGUUCUUCUGUAUUGCUUGCUUUAAAACAAUGAAUGAUUUUUAUUAAAUGUAUGAGUGAGGACAGGAUUUGACUGGAUGUAUCUUUAAGAGUAGCCUCUCUUGAGAUCUCAUAAGUGACCUGAUUCAUUCUAAAAUAGGGGCUGACGUCCAGUUUUCUAUUGCAUAUGGCAGGAGCCCAGGAUCACUUAAAGGUUAUGAUGAUCUAUCAAGAGAAGCCCACUGAUGAAAUAAAUC